CAAAACCGGUUAUUGUGCUCCCGAGAGCCAGAAUACAGUGCCCAAUGUCAGCACGGGCACUGGCCCCAGCAGGGAGAGUGAGGGCACUGUAGGUGAUGGUCCAAGCCAGGGCACAGAAUUUGAUAUAAGCUUUGGCGGUCCUGUGCCUCCCUGUCUGUACCCUGAAGUCAUCAUUAUCCCUGGCCCCCCCUGGGAGAGUGAGGAGUCCCUGAACACUCCCCUGAGCCACAGGGAAGCAUGUGAAGAUACUGAGGGCAUUCUGCCCAGCCCAAAUGAAGACAACUUGCAUGGUGAGGAAAACCAGAACCCAGACAGGAGGAGGAGAUGGCGCCUCAAAGGGGUGAGGAGGCAAAUCCGCCGUCUCUGCUGCUGUUUCUUCUGUUGUCUCCUCACCCCAACGGAAGAAGCCCCAACCCCCAGGUCUGAAGAACAGGCCUGGGGCCAUGGUUCUUAAACCAUGGGUCUCGUUCGGCCUGGUGUGGCCUACGAGCCACAAGAGGGGGCCAGGCCAGAACAUUAUAGAGCUUUGUACCCGAAAUCAUCAAGCCCAGUGACACAUGCUGUGACUCAUAAGGACAAGCUCUGUACCCCUCCUCUCCCUGCAGUGGGAGCUGUUAGCUCCCUUAAGAUGACUCUGCUGAAAAUCAUGGGUCACUUGAACCUAUGAAGAACAGCGGGGUAACCUGUUGUAAGCUGCCUCUGUCGGAUAACAGAAUGGCAGCUCAUAGCUUUGUGUGGCAGCAUUUCCAACGAUGCCACGGUGGUAUGAAACCCACUGUUACUUUUCACUUGAUGUUGGCACAUCAGGACUAUGUUCUACUCUUAAGAACAUAUCCCAGGCCUAAAAGAGAAAUUUCUCUGUUUAUUAUUUCAUUAUUCAAUAAAUAAAU